rnacentral:rRNA from 1 species
UACGUAGGGUGCAAGCGUUGUCCGGAAUUAUUGGGCGUAAAGGGCUCGUAGGCGGUUUGUCGCGUCGGGAGUGAAAACCUUGGGCUUAACUCAGGGCUUGCUUUCGAUACGGGCAGACUAGAGGUAUGCAGGGGAGAGCGGAAUUCCUGGUGUAGCGGUGAAAUGCGCAGAUAUCAGGAGGAACACCGGUGGCGAAGGCGGUUCUCUGGGCAUGAUCUGACGCUGAGGAGCGAAAGUGUGGGGAGCGAACAGG